rnacentral:rRNA from 1 species
GACGAACGCUGGCGGCGUGCCUAACACAUGCAAGUCGAACGCAGUGGGGACGGGUGAGUAACACGUGGGUAACCUCCCAUCAGAGGGGAUAACACUUGGAAACAGGCGCUAAUCCGAUACUGUUGGAGGGACCCGGGGUGCAUUAGCUAGUUGGUGGGGUAACGGCUCACCAAGGCCACGAUGCAUAGCCGGCCUUGGAGGGUGAUCGGCCACACCGGGACUGGGACACGGCCCAGACUCCUACGGGAGGCAGCAGUGGGGAAUCUUCGGCAAUUGACGAAAGUCUGACCGAGCAACGCCGCGUGAGUGAAGAAGGUUUUCGGGUCGUAAAACUCUGUUGUUUGGGAAGCGGUAUCUAACCAGAAAGCCACGGCUAACUACGUGCCAGCAGCCGCGGUAAUAC